rnacentral:rRNA from 1 species
GUGGGGAAUAUUGCACAAUGGGCGAAAGCCUGAUGCAGCAACGCCGCGUGAGGGACGACGGCCUUCGGGUUGUAAACCUCUUUUAGUAGGGAAGAAGCGAAAGUGACGGUACCUGCAGAAAAAGCACCGGCUAACUACGUGCCAGCAGCCGCGGUAAUACGUAGGGUGCAAGCGUUAUCCGGAAUUAUUGGGCGUAAAGAGCUCGUAGGCGGUCUGUCGCGUCUGCUGGGAAAACUGGAGGCUCAACCUCCAGCCUGCAGUGGGUACGGGCAGACUAGAGUGCGGUAGGGGAGAUUGGAAUUCCUGGUGUAGCGGUGGAAUGCACAGAUAUCAGGAGGAACACCGAUGGCGAAGGCAGAUCUCUGGGCCGUAACUGACGCUGAGGAGCGAAAGCGUGGGGAGCGAACAGGAUUAGAAACCCCGGUAGUCC